GCGACUUAUAUUCUGUAGCAAGGUUAACCGUAUAGGGGAGCCGCAGGGAAACCGAGUCUUAACUGGGCGUUAAGUUGCAGGGUAUAGACCCGAAACCCGGUGAUCUAGCCAUGGGCAGGUUGAAGGUUGGGUAACACUAACUGGAGGACCGAACCGACUAAUGUUGAAAAAUUAGCGGAUGACUUGUGGCUGGGGGUGAAAGGCCAAUCAAACCGGGAGAUAGCUGGUUCUCCCCGAAAGCUAUUUAGGUAGCGCCUCGUGAAUUCAUCUUCGGGGGUAGAGCACUGUUUCGGCUAGGGGGUCAUCCCGACUUACCAACCCGAUGCAAACUACGAAUACCGAAGAAUGUUAUCACGGGAGACACACGGCGGGUGCUAACGUCCGUCGUGAAGAGGGAAACAACCCAGACCGCCAGCUAAGGUCCCAAAGUCACAGUUAAGUGGGAAACGAUGUGGGAAGGCACAGACAGCCAGGAUGUUGGCUUAGAAGCAGCCAUCAUUUAAAGAAAGCGUAAUAGCUCACUGGUCGAGUCGGCCUGCGCGGAAGAUGUAACGGGGCUAAA
rnacentral:rRNA from 1 species